rfam:Medicago truncatula strain A17 chromosome 7, whole genome shotgun sequence.
AACAACUCUAGUUGUCCAGUGUUUGAUUUGUAAAACUGUUUCAGGUACAUGACAAACUGGAGGCAAGGGACAGGACAA